rnacentral:rRNA from 1 species
UACCAGCACCCCGAGUGGUCGGGACGAUUAUUGGGCCUAAAGCAUCCGUAGCCGGUCCUACAAGUCUUCCGUUAAAUCCACCUGCUCAACAGAUGGGCUGCGGAAGAUACUAUAGGGCUAGGAGGCGGGAGAGGCAAGCGGUACUCAGUGGGUAGGGGUAAAAUCCUCUGAUCCAUUGAAGACCACCAGUGGCGAAGGCGGCUUGCCAGAACGCGCUCGACGGUGAGGGAUGAAAGCUGGGGGAGCAACCGG